rnacentral:snRNA from 1 species
UUGCUUUGGCAGCACACAUGCUGAAAUUGCAACGAUACAGAGAUUAGCCUGGCCCCUGUGCAAGGGUGACAUGCAAAUUCAUGCAGCAUCCCGUACUUUU